GGGUGGGAGGAGGGAGAGGAUCAGGAAAAGUAACUAAGCUUAAUACCAGGGUGACAAAAUAAUCUGUACAACAAACCCCUGUGACAUGAGUUUACCUACAUAACCAACCUGCACAUGCACCCCUAAACUUAAAAGUUAAAUAAAAAUAAAUAAAUAAAAAUUUUUAAAGAUGCUAUUUACAAUCAUAUCAAAACACCUUAGAUACUGAGAGAAAAACCUAAUGAAGAUGCACAAGACCUGUAUGUAGAAAACUGCAAAAUAUUAUUUAAAAAAACUAAAAAAGACCUAAAUAAAUGCAAAAAUAGACCAGCUUCAUGUAUUAGAAGGCUCAAAAUUCAUGAACCUGGUAUAUUGUAAAGAUGUCAGUUCCCCCCUAAAGCUAUCUAAAAAUUCAAGUCACUCCCAAACAAAAUUUCAGAAAGUGUUUUUCUGUGUACAUCUGUAAGCUAUCUAAAUUUUAUAUGGAAAUUCAAAGGAUGAUUAAUAAGCAAGACAAUCUUUAAAAAAUGUUCCAGGAUUUACAAUAUCAAAUACCAAAGCUACAUAUAAAGCUACAAUAAUCAAGGCAGAGAGAAUUAGUGGAAAGAUAGACAAAUAGAUCAGUAAAACAAAAUAGAAAGUUCAAGGUGGGCAGAUUGCUUGAGCUCAGAAGUUCAAGACUAGCCUGGGCAAUAUGGUGAAACCCCAUCUCUACAAAAACAAACAAACAAAACAACAACAAAAACCCUAGACGCAGACACACAAAUAGAAAGUUCAGAAACAGACGCACACAUAUACAUAUGCCAAAGUCAUGUUGCAAUGCAGAGGAGACAGGAUGAUCUUUUCAAUAAAUGCUCCUGGAUUAAUUGGAUAUCCAUAGGGAAAAAAAUGAAUCUUCAUCCAUAUCACACAAAAUAAUGAAUCCCAGAUAGAUUUUAGAUUGAAAUGAAAGAAGCAAAAUAAUAAAGCUUCUAGAACAAAACAUAUAAUAUCUUCAUACCUUUGGAGUAAGCAAAUAUUUAUUUUUUUUAUUUUUUCUUUUUUUACUUUUAAUGUGAAGUCCAAAGCAAUUUUUUUUUUUUUUUUUGAGAUGGCGUCUUGUUCUGUCACCCAGGCUGGAGUGCAGUGGCAUGAACAUGGCUCACUGCAGCCUCAACCUCCCAGUCUCAAGUGAUCCUCCCACAUCAGCCUCUGGAGUAGCUGGGACUACAUGCACCUGCCACCACACCCAGCUGAUUUUUUUAAAAAAGUUUUUACAGAGACGGGGGCUCCCUAUGUCGCCCAGGCUUGCAAAUAUUUCUUAAACAGAACUCUGCUCCAAACUUAAAGGAAACUUUUCAUAAAUUGGACUAUGUUAAUUUUUUUUUCUUUUUUUUUUUUUUUUGAGACGUAGUCUUGCUCUGUCGACCAGGCUAGAGUGCAGUGGCAUGAUCUCGGCUCACUGCAAACUCUGCCUCCUGGGUUCAGGUGAUUCCCCUUCCUCAGCCUCCUGAGUAGCUGGGAUUACAGGCGUGAGCCACCGCACCUGGCCAAAAUUUUCAAAUUCAGAAGAAAUCACUAAGACAGUGAAUAAUGAGAAAGGGUAUUUG
rnacentral:lncRNA from 10 species